GACGAACGCUGGCGGCGUGCUUAACACAUGCAAGUCGAACGAAGAGCCCCUGAUUUUUGCGUCUAUCAAUCUUAGUGGCGGACGGGUGAGUAACGCGUAAACAACCCUCCCCUUUGAGGGGGACAACAGUUGGAAACGACUGCUAAUACCGGAUACGACCGAACCGCGGCAUCGAGGAUAGAUGGAAUGUGGUUUCUACAUGUAUGCUAGCACUUAAGGUGGGGGUUGCGUCUGUUGAGCUAGUUGGAGGGGUAUGGGCACACCUAGGCGAGGAUCAGUAGCCGGUCUGAGAGGAUGGGCGGCCAGAUUGGGAGUGAGACACGGCCCAGACUGCUUCGGGAGGCAGCAAUGGGGAGUCUUCCGCAAUCGACGGGAGUCUGACGGAGCAACGCCGCGUGAGUGAUGACGGCCGUCGGGUUGGAAAGGUCUGUUUAUCGGGAGGAAAGGACUUCUUGCGAAUAGGGAGAAGGAUUGACGGUACCGGAAUAGAAAGCCACGGCUAACUACGUG
rnacentral:rRNA from 1 species